rnacentral:tmRNA from 1 species
GUGACUGGCUCCUGCGCAGCCUGUCGGUCGGCGGCGCGGGGGCGAGAUCAAACGACUCGACUAAGCAUGUAGUCCCGACUGUGUAGGGUUUCCGGACGGCGGUUCGAUUCCGCCCACCUCCACCA